rnacentral:rRNA from 1 species
GAUGAACGCUGGCGGCGUGCCUAAUACAUGCAAGUCGAGCGAACGGACGAGAAGCUUGCUUCUCUGAUGUUAGCGGCGGACGGGUGAGUAACACGUGGAUAACCUACCUAUAAGACUGGGAUAACGUCGGGAAACCGGAGCUAAUACCGGAUAAUAUUUUGAACCGCAUGGUUCAAAAGUGAAAGACGGUCUUACUGUCACUUAUAGAUGGAUCCGCGCUGCAUUAGCUAGUUGGUAAGGUAACGGCUUACCAAGGCAACGAUGCAUAGCCGACCUGAGAGGGUGAUCGGCCACACUGGAACUGAGACACGGUCCAGACUCCUACGGGAGGCAGCAGUAGGGAAUCUUCCGCAAUGGGCGAAAGCCUGACGGAGCAACGCCGCGUGAGUGAUGAAGGUCUUCGGAUCGUAAAACUCUGUUAUUAGGGAAGAACAUAUGUGUAAGUAACUGUGCACAUCUUGACGGUACCUAAUCAGAAAGCCACGGCUAACUACGUG